UAUUGGGUUAUACUGAGUGAAAAUGUUCGAUAUUCAUUUUUUACUUCUGAAAUUUAAAUUCCAUGGAAGCAAUUGUAUGUUUGAAAUUCCAUCCUGUUAUAUGUGCAAAUCUUAGUACUGAUGUUUUAGUGCUUCUUCUUUUCUACAGAAAUACCAGGAAAGACAAUCCUUACUCCUUAGCCAUUGUGCAUGUCGAAUUCGCAGAAUCCCAAGUUUAGGAUACGGUCUUCAGCUAAUAAGAAAUCUGAUAGUGUUCAAGACUAUGUGAAAUCGUCAUGCAUUCCAAGGAGGUGUAGAAGUAGCAGGCCAAAUUUACCCUCAGGUUUAUCUGUUUCCAAGCGGAAUGGGAGGCUUGAUUCAUCUGAGUCCGACAUGAAUGUCGAGGGAAUGAGGAAGAAGCUUAAGACGGUAUCGCAGGUGACCAUGGAAGCUGAAAAGUCUAAGGUUCCCUUAGACUCAGUUGUUUCAAAGCCAGCGAAGUUGACUGGCCGUAGUUUCAAGAUUAGAUUCAAAAGAGGGCGCGAAGUGGAAAGUGUAUCAGGCAAAGAAACAUCUAAUGUAAGUGGAGGGAGGUCGCCCAUUCUAUCCUCUAAUCUAAAACAGGUGAAAAGUAAUGAAGAUCAAGAGAACAUCCCUUCACAGAAGAGGCUGGCACUGGAGGAUAACAGUGCAGAUAUUCGUAAAACUGUAAAAGAAAUCAAGGAAAAAUGUGCAAAGCGGAUGGAGAAGCUCAUUCAGGAACAGAAGGGGAAAAUUCAGGAGUUUCAUCGUGUUUGGGAGGAUAAUAUGUCACAAUUGGAAAAUGAUCGUAAACUGGAAGCGGCCAUUAUUCGUUCUAUAUACGGCAAUGGAACAAUAACGAUAGACAAGCUCGCGAUCUUGGAUGAUAAAUUUGCGAAAAAAAUGGCAGAGAACAAUCUCGAAAAGGACAAGCAACUUAGAGAUCUUGAGGCAGAACACUCAGCUGCAAAAAAUGAGGAGAUCCAAAAGGAAGCUAACUCUCUGUCUGAAGCAAAAUCCCUUGUCUCUAGCAAGCCUACAGCAUACCGCAAAGAACAGCCAUUGGGGUCGCAACAUGAAGAAGUUUCUAGACGUUCUAAGUCGAGAACGCAUAUCCUAGGUGCUAAGGAUGCAAUGGCCUUAACUGAGCAGCAUGAAAAAGAUAGUGAUUCAAGUAUAACUGUGAAGAGGAAUCAUGUUGAACGAUCCAAAAAUUCUGAUCGUGCUACAGCUGAGGAAGUAGCAUGUAAACCCUCUUGUGAAAAUCCAAGUAGUGCGAAAAAAAUGGCAGAGAACAAUCUCGAAAAGGACAGGCAACUUAGAGAUCUUGAGGCAGAACACUCAACUGCAAAAAAUGAGGAAAUCCAAAAGGAAGCUAGCUCUCUGUCUGAAGCAAAAUCCCUUGUCUCCAGCAAGCCUACAGCAUACCGCAAAGAACAGCCAUUGGGGUCGCAACAUGAAGAAGUUACUAGAUGUUCUAAGUCGAGAACGCAUUUCCUAGGUGCUAAGGAUGCAAUGGCCCUAACUGAGCAGCAUGAAAAAGAUGGUGAUUCAAGUAUAACUGUGAAGAGGAAUCAUGUUGAACGAUCCAAAAAUUCUGAUCGUGCUACAGCUGAGGAAGUAGCAUGUAAACCCUCUUGUGAAAAUCCAAGUAGUGCGAAAAAAAUGGCAGAGAACAAUCUCGAAAAGGACAAGCAACUUAGAGAUCUUGAGGCAGAACACUCAACUGCAAAAAAUGAGGAGAUCCAAAAGGAAGCUAACUCUCUGUCUGAAGCAAAAUCCCACGUCUCUAGCAAGCCUACAGCAUACCGCAAAGAACAGCCAUUUGGGUCGCAACAUGUAGAAGUUUCGAGAUGUUCUAAGUCGAGAACGCAUAUCCUAGGUGCUAAGGAUGCAAUUGCCCCAACUGAGCAGCAUGGAAAAGAUAGUGAUUCAAGUAUAACUGUGAAGAGGAAUCAUGUUGAGCGAUCCAAAAAUUCUGAUCGUGCUACAGCUGAGGAAGUAGCAUGUAAACCCUCUUGUGAAAAUCUUAGUAGUGCAGCCAUUUAUCUAAAAUUAUUGGAUGUUGAGAACAAUCUCCAAAAGGACAAGCAACUUAAGGAUCUUGAGGCAGAACAAUCAGCUACAAGAAAUGAGGAGAUCCAAAAGGAAGUUAACUCUCUGUCUGAAGCAAAAGCCUGCGUCUCUAGCAAGCCUACAGCAUACAGCAAAGAACAGCCAUUUGGUUCACAACAUGAAGAAGUUUCUAGAUGUUCUAAGUCGAGAACGCAUAUCCUCGGUGCUAAGGAUGCUAUGGCCUUAACCGUGAAGCAUGGACAAAAUAGUGAUUCAAGUAGAACUGUGAAGGCAAAUCGUGUUGUACGAUCCAAAAACUCUGAUCAUGCUACAGCUGAGGAAGUAGCAUGUAACCCUUUUUAUGGAAAUCCAAGUGGUGAAGCAAAUAGUAGUAAAAAAAAGGGAGGUGGUAUAUCUGACUCAGAUAUACGGAUUUCGGCUGUUGUUGAGAAGAUUAAUCUGCCAAUGCAUUUGGGUGCCGGGGGAAGUAUCCUUGCCAAUCUGGAGACUUCUGGUGAAAUGCAACUGCUUGAGCUGCACGGAGAGGUUCCAUCUAAGAUGCCUGAAACAGUUGCUUAUGAAAUGUUGGAUGAGGAUGCAAUUGAUUUACCUGAUGCAGAGCAGCUUGCUGUACCAGAGCAUUUUGGUUGUGCUGAAAAAAUCUCUGUGAAGCCCCCUGAUUCUGGAGAAAGAGCUGUCGGUGACAUGCAAUUUCCCAAUCUAUGUAAAGACAUUCCUGCAGAAUGGACUGAAACUGAUGAUGAAAUUGUUGAUAAUGUCAACCCAAUGGAAUUGAGUGCUAAUACUUCUAUUAAUGGAUUUGGUGAAGAGACUGCAAUUAAUUUCCCUGAUGCUUUGCUAAACCAGAGAAAUAAGACUGACAGGACCACCAUUGAUGAUCUUGAUUUGGCUGGAAAGGUACGAGAAGAGCAAGAUGUGGUACCUUCUGAAAUACAAGGCCAUGUUAUAGAGGAAGCAGGAAGGGUAAACUCUUCUCUCUCUGAGAUUGCCACUGCAGAACUUGUUGAUACUGCCAGAGAGUCUCUGUCGAAUAUUGAACCACAAGCCAGUGAGGAGCUUGCACUAGAAACUCAAAGUUCAUCAAGAGCUGAAGCUUCAGAGUUGAAAGUCACUGACACUGUAAUAGCUAAACUGUCUUCUGUACAAAUACAAGAUCAGAACACCUCAGUUGUUAAAGACCAAGUUACUUCACAGAUAGAAGCUGCAGACUCAGAGAGAGUUGACACUGCAGCCUCUGUUUCUGCAUCAGAACAUGUUGGUACUGUAAAGACUUUGGAAUCAUAUAACAAACUCCAAGACAACACUGAGCUGGAAAUAGAAACUCGAAGUAUGUCAUGGAUUGAAGUUUCAUACAUCGAGGACAUGAACAAUAGAUCACAUAUGCUGUCCAGUAUAGAACAGCAAGAUGAAGAUGCAGUAAUUAUUACCAAUCGGGUUAAUUUGGAGACUGAGGCAUCAAAUUCACUACUACCUGACAAUGCAACCCCUGAGCAAUCCCAUACUGAUGCACCAUCGAUUGAAAGUGAUGAGAAGCUGCAGCUCAUGAAUAUUGACGCAUCUCCAAGCCGUAACCAUUUGCCAUCCCCUGAACUUGAAAGUCAAAAUCAUAAUCUGGCAAGAAAUUCCUCUGGAGCUGCUGUGACUGAAAUUCUUUCACAUGCAUCCGUAGAUUUGGAUAAUAGUCCUGAUGUCAGAGAUGAACUAACAAGUGUUCAGAUAUCUGCUUCUGUCCAGAAUAAUGUAGCUACAGAAGAGGUGUUGAGUGCAAAUGAAGUCUUACAUGAUGCUGUUCUACAGUUCGGAGGUCUAACCCAUCUUCCUAUUAAUCAAAUUUCUCCAUCUCUGUUUGCUGAUCCACUUCAAAAUGAAUUGGAAAUAAUAAAAAAAGAAUCUGAAGAACUGCAGAAAAUUCACGAUGAACUGAUAGAAGGGCUAAAUUCUGAAUGCAAAAAAGAGAUGCAAGAACUUUUCGAUGCAGUAAAAAAGAAAUACCAGCUCAAAAUUCAGGAUACUCGAGCACAAUUUGUAGUGAAGAACAAUGGACUUUGUCAGAGGGGGAAGAAAAUUUUGAUGAAUAAGAUGUUGGCUGAUUCCUUCAACUAUAGUUGCUUGAAUAUGUCGUCUAUUUGGCCUGCAUUGCAGCAAGGUUUUCCUUCCAGUUCCAUGCAAUAUCAUCAACACAUGGUUAGGCCUGCUGGGGCUUGUGCUCCCAACCAGCAGAUUGCAAGCCCAAUUGGGCAAGCCAUGCCGCAGAUAUCAGUGCCUGGUUCUACGAGAGGUGGGCCUAUCACUAGCCAACAUUUUGCACCUCCAUGUGUACAACCUACUCCGUAUUUUGAAGCUUUGCGAAGACAGGGGACCAUCUUUGGAGUUCAUCCCACGAGUCUUCCGCAUUUUGGAGGAGAUAUAUAUUCUUCAGCUCAGCAGUUUCAGUCUUCUAUUCUUGGUCCAGCACAAUCCAUACCCAAUGCUACUUUGAUAUCAUCCUUCCAAAAUAUGCAGCAACCGCAACAGCCUCUAGCAGCUCCACAGUGGCAAUCAAACUUUCAUAAUCCUCAACAUCAUGGUUAUCCACCUUCUGUGAUGCAUACACCUGUGUCAUCACAGUGUCCAUCAAACUUUCACAAUCCUCAACAUCGUGGUUAUCCACCUGCUGUGAUGCCUACAUCUGUGUCAUCGUUUGAUUCGCUAAUGGAUGUGGAGCAUCUUCGUCGUCAUCACCAGCUACUUGGUGCUGUGCGGGGGCAACCAGAGCUCUUGCACCGGAGCAGCUAAUGCUAUCUGCUUAUCUGAUUUACACUAGCUUUUCUUCUACGAUCAUUUUGGAAGCCUCACCGUCAUAUCCUCACUGGUAAUUUGGGUGUCUCCAAUGGCGGACAUCCCGGUAGGACGUCGCCGACGUCCUACCCGACGUCCGCCGUAGUGAAGGGGAAGGGUGCCCACGCCCGUCCCAUGUGCCCGUCCCAUGUCCUCGCCCCUCAGCCCGACGUCCUACCUGACGUCCGCCACUGUGGCGUGGGUAGGACGUCCCACUCGGACGUCCCACCGAAAAUUAAUUUAAA